rnacentral:rRNA from 1 species
CGUACGUCGUUGGCGUUUUUGCGCAAAAGCCCUUCUAUUUCUUUGAAAUAAGCCCGCAGUCCCUGUUUAAGUGGCACUCUGGAAAAACGUUUCAUGUUUGCGCGACAUCACGGGGACGACGCCACCGCCCCGGCGCCUGCCAGAUCCAAGCGGGGAAGGGGAGGAGGGGGCAUCCCAGCGGUGGUGAAGCUUGGCGGAGUAGGGGGCGGGUCGGCCUGCUGGUUUGCCGACACUGGAAAGGCUCGUGGCAGGGAGCUCCUCUCCUCUGCUUUGGGAGGUGGCUGAAGCGCUCGGGCUGCAGAGCUGCU